rnacentral:lncRNA from 1 species
AACACAACAGAGGUGCAUCAUGAACACCAGGGUAAGGAGCUGAAGUUUGCACUGGAGCAGCAGAGACUGCUGACUGGGAAAAACUCUUUUGAAGAUUGUUGAAGAGUAGGAAUUCUGAGAGUAUCACAAGUUGUUAAUGCUUUAUUUUAAAAAAAAAAAAAAAAAAAAGAGUAUGUCUUCAAUUAUAAUUGAGAUAAUUUCUUCAAAUUGGUGUGACAGCAGUUCAGAUUACCCAUUUAUUCUAUCUCACAAUUCAAGACAAAACUCAAUGAAAUUAAAGGGCACAUAAAAAUGAUAAAAAGCUAAUAUAUUUACCCUUAGCAUUCAGUCAUUCUACAGAAAUCACUGUUAAGGGCUUGCUGACAGUUAAGAAUUUAAGAGGAGUGAAAAGAAACAAGAUAUUUAUAUGAACAAGAGUAUCUGUGGUAGUAACACUGGCUGUGCUAAAGAUACAUGAAGCAAAUGAAGCUUGUGGUUUACAUUAGGAGUUGAGCUACCCAUUGCACAGAUUUCAGUACCACAGAGUUUUAAAAUCUUUCUCAUUGUGAGAGUUUUGUGCUCAACUUGUCUGUUUGUCUAAGCAAGCAGCACCACCAUUGAUCUGAUUUGGUAUAUUGUUUUGUGCAUGUUUUGCACUGCUAUAAUGCAGUGAGAAUAAGCAGUGAUUAUGGCAUGGGAGGAAGAUACAAUUGCAGUACUUUGGAGCAAUAAAACAGAAGAGGUUCCCAUACAACUUCUCUGUGAACAGCAGGCAUUUUACACCUGCUUUUGUGAUUUCAACCAGAAAUGAGUCAUUUGUCACUUCGUUUAUAAGCACUUGAUACAAGUUGCCAGUACAUACGGACUGGGGAGUCUUUCCAGAUGAACUGAUAAUGCCUCCACAAGGAAGUCUGCAUCAAGGACUUCUGUCAACACCCCUCUCAUGGUGAAUGCUAUCCUGUCCAAGAGUUUUCUGGUUCAGCUGUACCCUACUCCAAGGAUCCCAAUGCAUUGCUGCAGUUGUUCAUUAUCCCUUGUGUGGCCACCCUGGAGAUGUAUAAAAACAAAUGUUGAGAUUUGUUAUAUAGAGGUGUUUAUAAAACCUUACUUUAAGAAAGUCCAUUUGAUAAUGUCUAUGCUCACAUGACUACAUGUAGUGUUGCUUUUAACUAAUUAAUUUGCUUGCUGCAUGAUGCCAAAUCUCUUCCAAGGA